GAUGAACGCUGGCGGCGUGCUUAACACAUGCAAGUCGAACGAUGAAAGCGGGAGCUUGCUCCUGCUGGAUUAGUGGCGAACGGGUGAGUAACACGUGAGUAAUCUGCCCCGAACUCUGGGAUAAGCGUUGGAAACGACGUCUAAUACCGGAUACGACGCGCGAAGGCAUCUUCUGCGCGUGGAAAGAACUUCGGUUCGGGAUGAGCUCGCGGCCUAUCAGCCAGUUGGUGAGGUAACGGCUCACCAAGGCGACGACGGGUAGCCGGCCUGAGAGGGGGACCGGCCACACUGGGAAUGAGACACGGCCCAGACUCCUACGGGAGGCAGCAGUGGGGAAUAUUGCACGAUGGGCGGAAGCCUGAUGCAGCAACGCCGCGUGAGGGAUGACGGCCUUCGGGUUGUAAACCACUUUUAGCAGGGAAGAAGCGAAAGUGACGGUACCUGCAGAAAAAGCGCCGGCUAACUACGUGCCAGCAGCCGCAGUAAAAC
rnacentral:rRNA from 1 species